CUCAGGAUCUGAUCUUCUCAACAGCAGGAGAAAACCCUAGCCUGGCUUCACUCAGAAGAUGUCAUCUUGGAUUAGAAAAGAGAGAGAGAGCCACAACUUGGAUUGACAGAGUAUGGAGCCUGAAGGAGCCCAGGUCCCUGAGACACGGUGGAACAAAGCCACUAUACUACCUCAGGACUCUGUACAGCCCUGCUUUAUAUAGAGGAGAAGUAAACUUCUAUCUUUUUAAAGCCCCUAUUUGUUGAAUUGUAUUGUCACAGCCAUAUCCAAUCUUAAGGAAUAUACAAAGAUUAUGCCAUGGCUUUUGUAGCCCAAUUGGCUAUCUAGGCAAGUAAAAUAAUCUGAAUGAUG
rnacentral:lncRNA from 10 species